UUACACUUCUUUCUAAACAUCCGAAGAAUCAUUUUUCAAGACUGGUAACAAGAUAUGUUUGGGUUGUACUGGGACACAAAUUUUUGACCUGAAGUAAACCUUUUCAUCUUCAAACCAGCACGUCUUCUGUCAGCCACUGAGUGGAAUAUGGCUUCUGUUGUCGGUCGCACUUCUAAACGCUUUCUCAGGAGCGCUGAGCUUUGGAGGCAUGGAGCACCGAGCCCUGUGUCCUUACUGAUGCCAAGACGUCCUGCUGUUACAACUUCAACGGGAGCAGUUUUGCCCAAACCAGGCAUAGUGUCUUUUGGAAUUCUUCGUGUCUCCAUUGCUGUGCUGCCAUUCCUAUAUCUUGGUACAUUGAUGAGUCAACGUUUUGCUGCCUUUUUAGAAGAUUAUGACAUUUUUCUACCAUCAUAUGAUGAUGAUUAAACUUGUUCUUGCAGGCUUUUUGGUGAUCUGCAUUGUUCAGCUUCUUUGUCUUAUUGACUAUUACAAUGAGUACACUUUGAUACUCCCAAAAUUGUCUUUUAGAGAAGGGUAAUGAGGGAAAGUUUUGUACUGGAGAGCUCAGCAGUGGCCAUUUCCGCUACACUAUGAAUACACUCCAGAAUACAGGACCUGACACCAGCAAUAUUUAGACUCCCUAUGUGAACGAAGUUUGAUAAGCUUUGAUGGUGGGUUGCUUGUGGAUAUUCACAGCAAAGAAUAAGCCAAGCAAGCAGGAUGAGGUAAAGUCCUUAACAACUAAGAGCAUGUCAUGUAAUAAUAACUCUACAGCCCCCAUCAUUGAACAUCUCUGAUCUUCACAUUGUGGAAUUGACAAUUUUCGACAAUGCCACUGCUGAACUGCCCACCCCUUCAUUUUGCUGAAGUUGUAAUUCAGACAGUCCAACUAUGCAAUGUCACCUCUUAGUCAGCUUGUCAAUGAGGAGAUCUCCUCAGGCUUUUAUGUAACCUGUUAGCAGUAAGAAGGGAAGCAGAACUCAUAGCAACAAUAAGGUUAUGCAUUCUUCUUACAUAUGAAUCUGUCAAAGAUUAUUUAAAAAAAUGCAUGGAGGUUGUUAUAUUUUAGAUUACUUACUGCUUUAUGUUUUAUCGUUUGAAUAAAACUUCUACUCAUC